UUGGAGAGGCGCGUGCGCGGCUUGUGGGCGGCCUCUCGCUGCCUUCCGCGACGGCCACGAGGUCGGUGGAACUCGGGAAGCGCCUGGAGGGUUUUCCAGGCCCGGUUCCGGAGGCAAGAGGGCCGUGCCCCAACGGAGUCACCGCCAUCAGAAACCGCUGCCUCGGGCAGAGUUGCAACAGCUGGCAAGAGGAGAAGAGGACGUGGUGGAAGACUUGGAUUUUUCCGAUGGAGACUGAUGGAUGGACAGAUUUUUUGGGGGGUUAACUGGACAGCUGUUGCCACUUGUGGAGGGCUGAGGAAGGGGCUGCAUUGUUCCAGCUGGUCCUGAGGGCACUGGAGGGAAAUUCCAGGAAAUUUUGUCCUCCAGCAGGGGAGCCUAAAAAGACCAUGAUGGCUGGAAAAAAAACCCUGCCUCUUUAGAAUAAUAAUAAUGGGGGUUCUUAAAACCAUCUCAAAAUAAAACCUACUUUAAAAA